rfam:Triticum aestivum genome assembly, contig: Triticum_aestivum_CS42_TGACv1_scaffold_131772_2BL
UUUCUACUCCCUCCGUCCGAAAAUACUUGUCAUCAAAAUGGAUAAAAAGAGAUGUAUCUAAAACUAAAAUAUGUCUAGAUACAUUUCCUUUUAUCCAUUUUGAUGACAAGUAUUUCCGGACGGAGGGAGUAUUUG